rnacentral:rRNA from 1 species
UACGUAGGGGGCUAGCGUUGUCCGGAAUCACUGGGCGUAAAGCGCACGUAGGCGGACUCUUAAGUCGGUGGUGAAAUCCUGGAGCUCAACUCCAGAACUGCCUUCGAUACUGAGAGUCUCGAGUCCGAGAGAGGUGAGUGGAACUGCGAGUGUAGAGGUGAAAUUCGUAGAUAUUCGCAAGAACACCAGUGGCGAAGGCGGCUCACUGGCUCGGUACUGACGCUGAGGUGCGAAAGCGUGGGGAGCAAACAGGG